GAUGAACGCUGGCGGCGUGCCUAAUACAUGCAAGUCGAGCGAACAGACGAGGAGCUUGCUCCUCUGACGUUAGCGGCGGACGGGUGAGUAACACGUGGAUAACCUACCUAUAAGACUGGGAUAACUUCGGGAAACCGGAGCUAAUACCGGAUAAUAUAUUGAACCGCAUGGUUCAAUAGUGAAAGACGGUUUUGCUGUCACUUAUAGAUGGAUCCGCGCCGCAUUAGCUAGUUGGUAAGGUAACGGCUUACCAAGGCGACGAUGCGUAGCCGACCUGAGAGGGUGAUCGGCCACACUGGAACUGAGACACGGUCCAGACUCCUACGGGAGGCAGCAGUAGGGAAUCUUCCGCAAUGGGCGAAAGCCUGACGGAGCAACGCCGCGUGAGUGAUGAAGGUCUUCGGAUCGGAGAGCUCUGUUAUUAGGGAAGAACAAAUGUGUAAGUAACUAUGCACGUCUUGACGGUACCUAAUCAGAAAGCCACGGCUAACUACGUG
rnacentral:rRNA from 1 species